AUGCAACGAAAUGCCAAACGAGAACCAACUUUUUUUUCUUUUGAGAACAAACGAGAGCCAACUGAAAAGGAGAUCUUCCGCGAGCAACAUUUUAUUUCUAUUCACAGCCAGAAACGAUCCAUCUUUCUCUCUCGAUCGUACCACAAACGACCAUUUCACUCGGCCACAGCUCGAAACAAAUUCUUGUCCGCGAGUCGCGUCCGCCCAGGAGGGCACGAGCGCCGCCGCACAGCGCUGAAUAAGACGGCGAGGAAGGAAGCUGCGUCGUCAGCGCGGCGUUCACUUGCGGCCGUCAGCGGCGGCGCGCGGCGUGAUCUUGAUGACGAGGCCCGGGAAGACGUCGUCGGGGUCGUGGACGUGCGGGUUGUGCUCCAGGAUGUAGGGGUCGCCGCACCGGUCGCUGAUGCUGUGCAGCGUCUCCCCCUCCACCACCACGUAUAUCUCGUCGCACGGCCGCCGCGGCGCCGCCGCGAUCCGCGCCCCGCGCACCACCACCGCCCCGCCGCCGCUCUCUUCCCCCUCGCCGGCCCGGAGCGACGACACCAGCAGCAGCGUCACCAGCGCCAGCCCGCAGCACCACGACGCCGCGUCCGCCGCCGCCGCCAGCCCCGACCACCUCCGCUCUGGCGCCAUCGCUACGAUCACAGCAAACCAACUGAAAACAACCACGAGGGUUCAAGAACGAAUUGUGCGAUGUUGUUGUGA
rnacentral:rRNA from 1 species